UACGGGGGGGGCAAGCGUUGUUCGGAAUUAUUGGGCGUAAAGGGUUCGUAGGUGGCCGGCUAAGUCCGCUGUGAAAUCUCGAGGCUCAACUUCGAGCUGUCGGUGGAAACUAUCUGGCUAGAGUCCGGAAGAGGAGAAUGGAAUUCCUGGUGUAGCGGUGAAAUGCGCAGAUAUCAGGAAGAACACCCGUGGCGAAGGCGGUUCUCUGGGACGGUACUGACGCUGAGACGCGAAAGCGUGGGGAGCGAACAGG
rnacentral:rRNA from 1 species